rfam:Anaerobacillus alkalilacustris strain DSM 18345 Ga0137925_142, whole genome shotgun sequence.
UUUCACAGCUACGGGAGCCUAGAAGACUAGGCUGAGAAGAUGACUGAUCUGUCACAGACCGUUAACCUGAUCUGGAUCAUGCCAGCGGAGGGAAGACUGUAUUUGUAAUGU